rnacentral:rRNA from 1 species
ACAUGCAGUCGAGCGGUAGAGAGAAGCUUGCUUCUCUUGAGAGCGGCGGACGGGUGAGUAAUGCCUAGGAAUCUGCCUGGUAGUGGGGGAUAACGUUCGGAAACGGACGCUAAUACCGCAUACGUCCUACGGGAGAAAGCAGGGGACCUUCGGGCCUUGCGCUAUCAGAUGAGCCUAGGUCGGAUUAGCUAGUUGGUGAGGUAAUGGCUCACCAAGGCGACGAUCCGUAACUGGUCUGAGAGGAUGAUCAGUCACACUGGAACUGAGACACGGUCCAGACUCCUACGGGAGGCAGCAGUGGGGAAUAUUGGACAAUGGGCGAAAGCCUGAUCCAGCCAUGCCGCGUGUGUGAAGAAGGUCUUCGGAUUGUAAAGCACUUUAAGUUGGGAGGAAGGGUUGUAGAUUAAUACUCUGCAAUUUUGACGUUACCGACAGAAUAAGCACCGGCUAACUCUGUGCCAGCAGCCGCGGUAAUACAGAGGGUGCAAGCGUUAAUCGGAAUUACUGGGCGUAAAGCGCGCGUAGGUGGUUUGUUAAGUUGGAUGUGAAAUCCCCGGGCUCAACCUGGGAACUGCAUUCAAAACUGACUGACUAGAGUAUGGUAGAGGGUGGUGGAAUUUCCUGUGUAGCGGUGAAAUGC